rnacentral:misc_RNA from 1 species
AACGCACAUUGCGCCCGCUAGUAUUCUGGCGGGCAUGCCUGUUCGAGCGUCAUUUCAACCAUCAAGCGCCUGCGCUUGUGUUGGAGCCCUGCGGCUGCCGCAGGCUCCCAAAUGCAGUGGCGGGCUCGUCGUCGUACCGAGUGCAGUAAACAUCCUCGCUCAGGGCACGCGUCGGGUACCGGCCGUAAAACCCCCAACUUUUCAAGGUUGACCUCGGAUCAGGUAGGAAUACCCGCUGAACUUAA